AUUGAACGCUGGCGGCAGGCCUAACACAUGCAAGUCGAACGAGUGGCGGACGGGUGAGUAAUGUCUGAGAAACUGCACGAGGGAGGGGGAUAACUAAGGGACACGGUAGAUAAUACCGCAUACCAUCGGGUGUCCCCAGAUGGGCUUAGCUAGUAGGUGGGAUAACGGCUCACCUAGGCGACGCUCCCUAGCUGGUCUGAGAGGAUGACCAGCCACAUUGGAGCUGAGUCACGGUCCAGACUCCUACGGGAGGCAGCAGUGGGGAAUAUUGUACAAUGGGCGCAAGCCUGAUGCAGCCAUGCCGCGUGGAGGAAGAAGGCCUUCGGGGUGUAAAGUACUUUCAGCGGGGAGGCGUUACCCGCAGAAGAAGCACCGGCUAACUCCGUGCCAGCAGCCGCGGUAAUUC
rnacentral:rRNA from 1 species